GAUAUUCCCUUAGUGUCUUUACAGGUGAAUAUUUGGCCACUUGGUUCAUGGUUAGCUUAGCUGGAAUUUCCAGAUCAAACGACAUAAAGGGUUCUGUGACAAGAUCACAGUGCUAGGCUCCUUCUCCAUGGUCCAGGGACUGCUGCCAACUUCCACCUCCGGCUCCUGGCAACCAGCACCUGCUUUUUACUGAAUGGGUGUGACUCUGUGGUGUUCGUUGGCUCCUGACUGCAGGGAUACCUUUUCCUUCCGAGCUGUAACAGUUACAUACCCCCCUCCCCACCCCAAGUUCCAAGCACUGUGCUCGGCUCUGGGUAUACAGCCAUGGGAAAAUCCAGAAAUGGGCCCCACAUUCGUGAAGACUGGAGUUCUGAGACAUCCAGUGAAGUGAUGCAGCAUGAAUUUGGAAAAGUACAAACAAAAACAAGUUCGACCCAGCAGGGAAGAAUUCCAGGGCAGCAUUAAAGCAUCAGUAAGACUUGCCAUGCUGAUUAGAUGAAUGAAAAAAACAAACCCACAACUGCUCCCUUCCAAGCAGAAAUAACAUCACAUUUAUGAGAACUGAACAAGUGUUAAGAUGGGCGGAAAAUGAAUAAAUCUGAGGAGCCUGAUGAAUCUAUGGACUGUGGCCAGUCACCUCAGAAACAUGCCUCCUGGUGGCCAGGAGGCUGAGGAAGGCUAAUAGAUGAGCCUUCUCUGAGGUGGGCAUGGCCUGACAGUGGACAGAGGUAAGGGUUGCCAUUGUGAAACCCUGUCUAACUGCGAUAGAGCUCAAAGUCGCCAGGGAAGGUGACCCAAAAACGCGCUAUAAGAUGAUACGACUAUGCCCUCAGGGAGGAUGCAGCCUGUCACCAGGCAAAGAUUUCAGAGUAAACAGAAACAUCUGAGACAGUCAAACCCAUAUUUUUGUUAAUUUGUAUACAUUUAGUGUUUCAAGUAUUUGUAAUAUUUAAGGAAAAUUGGCCCAUUAGAGUAAUGUGAUCAUCCUUUUGACACCAAUUUCAAAUAUGUAAUUAAGACAUUGAUUUAGUUUUCUACUUUUAAAUUAAAAGACAUUCUAAAAUUAUAAUCAGUACUGGAAUACUUGAGAGAAUUUAAAAUUUCCAUAUUUUAAAGUUCAAUUUGCUAGAGCUUUAAGAUUUUAGACAAUUGACGUAAGAGAAAUAAAAUGUGUUAAAUAUGUAAACAUGAUUUAAUAAGGUACCUGAAUGAAUUUUAUAAGGCUAAUUUGUAAAUGAGAUAAUACGUUAAUUCAAUUUGUAACAUAAAAUUAAAAGAAAAGUCAAAGUAGGUCUGAGUAGUUAUCUGUGCCAAAAGCAAUCUUUGAGACUGACGACAACAACAAGAACCCGGUGGACACCUCGGGGCGAUUUCCUGUGCCCCCCGCAUGUUGGACGGAUGAAGUAAAACUCCUUGUGGGAAGACGUGCAGGGAAACUCCAUUCUCUGGCUCAGGGAUGCGCUUAGACGGCGCCCUAGAAAUUGAACAGAAGACUGGACAGUACUGGAAACAAAAAGCAAGAAGAGCUGACAAGCGUGAGAAACACCCUAGAAAACAUAGAAGAACAAAUGCGUGAGUUGUGCAGUGCGUGCGCAGGAGAGAGCUAUUACAGGCUGAAACCCGCGAUAAGGAAACUGUGACUCAGGUCAUCCUGUCAGUCAGGCACUUGUGGCCUCCAGCGACAC